CUUUUUUCUAUUAAUUUCUUUUGUUAGUAAGAGUCCUUGUGAAAGAUGCAAGGACAGAAUGCAGACAUGUUUGGAUGGUUAAGGAACAUAAUCUAGCAACUACGUAUGAAGUACAAGAACAAACAAACUUAUGAAAAUUGUUAAUAAUAUUUCACCAAUAACUUUAAUUGUAAUUUCCUGAACAAUUGAUAUUUCAAUGUUUUUGUAUGGAACGCCAUGACUGUCUUCUGAUGUUGAUUUUUGGUAUGUUCGGUGCUUUGUGUAUUAUGUUCAUUAGUAUUUAUAUCAUGUCCAGUAGUUUUUAUAUUAUGCUCAGUAGUUUUGACAUUAUGUUCAGUAGUUUUGACAUUAUGUUUAGUAGUUUUGACAUUAUGAUCGGUGCUUUGGUUAUUAUGUUCAGUAGUUUCAUUAUUAUAUGCAGUGGUAGUUAAAUUAUGUUGGGUACUUCUGACGAUAUCUUCAGUGCAUUUUUCAUUAUGUUCAGUACUUUAGACAUUAUGUUCAGUAGAUAAAAUAUUAUUUACAGUACAUUAUGUAUUACCUUCAGUGGUCCCGGUUUCUUUAUAUUCGGUGGAUUAUUCAUUAUGUUCAGUAAAAGCAUCAGUAUUAUAUUUUGUUCAAUGCUCUAUAUGUUCAGUGGUUGUAUCAUUAUGAUGAUGCAGUUAAAGUCGGGAAAUCAAUAACGGAAAUUGUCGAAGAAAAAAAAAACCAAAUGCCGAUAUUUUCGACGGACGUUUUCUUUAUGGAAACCUUUACGGGAUUGAAUGAAAAAGGAAGAAAUGGAAGCAGUAUUAACUUGGUUUGGUUUACUUUCACACGUUGACAAUUUUUAUAAGGAAAAAAAUACUCCUGACGUAAUUUUUACGAUGUCCUGAUUGACUGAUAAUAAUGUUUUGAACGUACAGUGGCAAAUAUUUCACGCAUUUGACUGAUUGUUAUUUUUUGAACGUACUUAGUGGCAAAUAUGUCACGCAUAUUCUAUAGCUUUUGAUUUUCUUGUAGGUAACCCUUUUUGUUGGUUUGUUGUAGCAUAUUAAUCUUAGGUACCGACUUUAAACAGACCACCAACCUUGUAGAUAUUCUUAUAGUAUUCUGCAUCCUACAUCUCUAAUAGGCGCUUUAAUAUCAGAUAUUUUUUUGAAAUAACCAAAGAAAUAUGAGGUUGUGGAUGAAGUUUACAGAAUAGAAAAUAAUGCCCACCCCCAAAAACGAAGGUGACAAAAACAUAAAGUACAGAAAAAAAAAAGGGUUGCUUAAAUGUAAAAAAAAAUCUUUCAAACU
rnacentral:lncRNA from 1 species